GUGAAGCAGAGCUGGAGGAGAGCGCAAGAGACCGGUAUGUAAGCUAGAGGUUACUCUGGGAGGCCAUAAGCUUUCCUAAAGAGAUGGGUUUUAAGGCACUUUUUAAAUGAUUGAAGACUAGGGGAGAGUCUGUAGGCAGGCUGUUCUAUAGGAAGGGAGCUGCCCGCGAGAAGUCCUGCAAGCGUGAGUUGACCAUACAGGUGCGAGCAGUGGACAGGAGAAGGUCAUGGGCAGAGUGGAGAGACCGAGAAGGGGCAUACCUAAGGAUCUGUGAGGAGAAAUAAGAGGGGCUAGAAUUGUUCAGUGCUGUAAAUGUAUGGGUUAGCACUUUGAAUUGAUUCCUAUAGGAUACAGGAAGCCAAUGAAGGGAAUGACAAAGGAGUGAGGUGUGAGAGGACC